rnacentral:tRNA from 1 species
GUGUAGGGCAAUGAAUAGCGCGUUGGACUUCUAACUCAAAGGUCGUGGGUUCGAAUCCCACCUGAAAUG